UUAAAAACAAGUGGUAUUUUUAAAGUAGGCGUGAUAAUUAUUUCCGGUAAAUUUCAUUUAAUAAAAAAGGGUAGUUUAUACACUUACGUGAACGAAGAAGCCUGGCAUUCCAGGCAGUAGCAAAAGUGAACCAGGUUUGUCUUCUGCGCCUAUUUGGAAGUUCUUUAAGAAAUUUCCAAAUAACAAGUUGCAAUGUACUUUGUACCCUUCUGUCCUGAAAACGGAAUAUGGUUCCACAACAGGUAUGCACAGACACUUAACACAACAUCCGAAGGCAAAAAAUUAGUUGACCAUUCUUCAGGAAAAAUACACAUCUUUCAAAUUAUCAAGCAGAAGUGAGAAAAAGUCAGUUGAAUCAGAUGUACCAACAAAUCAGCUCAAGCUAGCUAAUUUUGUCUCCUGGGGAAUUGACCACCCCAAGCAAAAGGCUUUGACAAAAGAUGUAGGUAGGUAAAUGGUUAGGAAAUGGUUGCCAUCCAUACAGCAUUGUUGAUGAAAGAGGCCUAAAAAAUGUUUUAAAAUUGGCUCAGCCUCAUUCAGCAGGAAAAUAAUUCCAGAGUUGUACGAAGAAACUGUCAACAGCUUGAAUUCUAAAAUAGACAGUGCCAUUUCCACUGAGUCAUCUAUAGCGUUCACAACAGACUUGUGGUCGUCGAGAAGUAAUCUUGCAUUCUUGUCAGUUACUAUGCACUACAUGGAUCAAGAUUUCAGUCUUCAGUCUCAUUGUCUAGGUCCAUUUCAUUUCUAUGGUGACCACACUGCUUAUGCAAUAGGUAUGCAAGAAAUUCAAAGAAUGCUUACAGAAAUUGAAUCUGUGUGAUACAUGAAACACAUUGCCUGUAUUUCAAUUGACUGACAAUGCAAGGAACAUGAAGGCUGCAUUCUCAUUAUUAAAACCCUUCAGUCACUUGCAAUGGUUUGCACAUACUUUACAACUUGUAUUGUCUGAUGCAAAGAAGAGUUCCACAGAAAUACAAGAUUUGGUUAAAGCAUGUAGAUCUAUAGUUGGUUACUAUAAACAUAGCACUACAGGCAUGGAGAGGCUUCAUAAAAUUCAAAAUUAAUUGAGAUUGCCAGAACUUGGGAGUGAUUCAGGACUGCGAAACACACUGGAAUUCUGAAUAUCUGAUGCUUGAACGGUUACUAUGACCAUUAAGGAAGCUAUUUCAAGGGACUUGCUAUCAGAAGGAAAACAUGACUAUCUAAGUAUCUCAGAAUGGAAAAUGGUUGAUACAUAUGUGAAAAUUCUCAAACCUCUAUCAGGCAACACAAGUUCAAUUAUUAUUCAAAUUAUUUAUUUAAUAACAAACUGGACAAGUACUCUGCUGAAAAUGAACAUGGAACUGGGAAAACAUUUGGGCACAAUUUGCUACUGUCAAUUAAAUCAAGGUUUCCUGCUUACAAAUUAAAGUAACCAUAUUUGUCAGCCAUGAUGCUAGAUCCCCGCUUUAAUCACAUUCUUCUAGACACGCAUGAGAAGGAUGCAGCUAUCCAUUUCUUUACACAACAGAGCCAGGCACAAUCCUACAAGACUGAGCAUAACCAUGCCAUCUGUUUUUGUUUCAGCUUCACAAAGGCCUGCUCCACAGAAUCCUGGCUCUCUAUGGGAGGAUUUUGGCUUGCUGGCUUCUCAAGCUCAAAAACAAUCUGCUACUUCAACAAAUCUCUUCAGUCAGAACAUGGACAUGUACCUGUGUGAACCUGUUAUAUACAUAACGGAGGAUCCUUGUCUGUGGUGGAAAAAAUAAUAUAACCCGAUUUCCAACACUCAAAAACACUGUCUUGAGUUAUCUUGGCAUACCAGCAACAGAGGUUGCCAGUGAACGGGUUUUUUCUAGUGCUAGCAAUAUUGUCAGUGCCAAAAGAGAAAAAUUAACAAGUGAACAUGUUGAAGAGUUGGUGUUUCUUCAUGAAAAUUUAAAGUAGAGUAAGACACGAGAUGUUUGUAUUUAUUACAUUUUAUGUCAUUUAUUAUUUGUAUUUGUGUGUCUUUCCUUAUUUGUGAUUUGGACUAUAAAUGUCGAUGGUUUAUUUAAAAAAAAGACUUAAAAGUACGCACAUUUUAAAAGUAAAUAUAAUUUUCUGUACAUCAA